rnacentral:rRNA from 1 species
CUCAUUGAGAGUUUGAUCCUGGCUCAGGAUGAACGCUGGCGGCGUGUUUAAGGCAUGCAAGUCGUGGGAUCGGCUUUUUUAUUCUUCGGAAUUUUGAAGUACGGACCGGCAAACGGGUGAGUAACACAUUGGUAACCUACCUUCGAGUUGGGCAUAGACCCGGGAAACCGGGAUUAAUACCCAAUAGUCAUGAGGGGUCGUAAGACAUUCUCAUGUAAAGAUUUAUCGCUCGAAGAGGGGCCUAUGGCUGAUUAGCUUGUUGGUAGGGUAAAGGCCUACCAAGGCUAUGAUCAGUAGCAGGCGUGAGAGCGUGACCUGCCUCACUGGGACUGAGACACUGCCCAGACUCCUACGGGAGGCUGCAGUCGAGAAUAUUCCACAAUGGACGAAAGUCUGAUGGAGCGACGCCGCGUGCAGGAAGACGCCCUUCGGGGUGUAAACUGCUUUUCUGAAGGACGAAUUCGUGACGGUACUUCAGGAAUAAGAGGUUGCUAACUCUGUGCCAGCAGCAGCGGUAAUACAGAGACCUCGAGCGUUAUCCGGAUUCAUUGGGCGUAAAGCGUCCGCAGGUGGUGUGAUAAGUCACUGGUUAAAUUUUCAGGCUUAACUUGGAAACUGCUAUUGAUACUGUCACACUUGAGACUGGGAGAGGUAAGCGGAACACACGGUGUAGUCGUAAUAAGCGCUGAUAUCGUGUGGAACACCAAAGGCGAAGGCAGCUUACUGGAACAGUUCUGACACUAAUGGACGAAAGCGUGGGUAGCGAAGGGGAUUAGAUACCCCCGUAGUCCACGCCGUAAACGAUGUCUACUAGGUAUUGGGAGUAUCGACCCUCUCAGUGCCGUCGAAAAAAGCUAACGCGUUAAGUAGACCGCCUGGGGAGUACGAUCGCAAGGUUAAAACUCAAAGGAAUAGACGGGGACCCGCACAAGCGGUGGAUCAUGUGGUUUAAUUCGACAUUAAGCGGAAAACCUCACCAGGACUUGACAUUUAGCUGCAAGCUUUAGGAAACUAGAGCCGCCUUCGAGGGUGCUAAACAGGUGCUGCAUGGUUGCCGUCAGCUCGUGUCGUGAGAUGUACGGUUAAGUCCGAUAACGAGCGCAACC